GACGAACGCUGGCGGCGUGCUUAACACAUGCAAGUCGAACGAAGUGGCGAACGGGUGAGUAACGCGUAAUCAACCUGCCCUUAAGAGGGGGACAACAGUGGGAAACGAAUGCUAAUACCCCAUACUGAAGGAGGGGAUUGUGUCUGAUUAGCUCGUUGGAGGGGUAACGGCCCACCAAGGCGAUGCUCAGUAGCCGGUCUGGGGGGAUGAACGGGCACCAUGGGACUGGGACACGGCCCAGACGCCUACGGGAGGCAGCAGUGGGGAAUCUUCCGCAAUGGACGACAGUCUGACGGAGCAACGCCGCGUGAGUGAUGACGGCCUUCGGGUUGUAAAGCUCUGUUAAUCGGGACGCGGUACCGGAAUAGAAAGCCACGGCUAACUACGUGCCAGCAGCCGCGGUAAUAC
rnacentral:rRNA from 1 species